rnacentral:rRNA from 1 species
AUUGAACGCUGGCGGCAGGCCUAACACAUGCAAGUCGAGCGAGCGGCGGACGGGUGAGUAAUGUCGGGAAAACUGCCUGACGGAGGGGGAUAACUACUGGAAACGGUAGCUAAUAACGCUUACCAGCCGAUGGGCCCACAUGGGAUUAUCUAGUAGGUGGGGUAAAGGCUCAACUAGGCGACGAUCCCUAGCUGGUCUGAGAGGAUGACCGGCCACACUGGAACUGAGACACGGUCCAGACGCCUACGGGAGGCAGCAGUGGGGAAUAUUGCACAAUGGGCGCAAGCCUGAUGCAGCCAUGCCGCGUGUGUGAAGAAGGCCUUCGGGUUGUAAAGCACUUUCAGCGAGGAGGCGUUACUCGCAGAAGAAGCACCGGCUAACUCCGUGCCAGCAGCCGCGGUAAUUC